rnacentral:rRNA from 1 species
UACGUAGGUGGCAAGCGUUGUCCGGAUUUACUGGGCGUAAAGAGCGCGCAGGCGGCUGAUUAAGUCGAAUGUGAAAGCCCACGGCUCAACCGUGGAGGGUCAUUGGAAACUGGGAGACUUGAGUGCAGAAGAGGAUAGUGGAAUUCCAAGUGUAGCGGUGAAAUGCGUAGAGAUUUGGAGGAACACCAGUGGCGAAGGCGACUAUCUGGUCUGUAACUGACACUGAGGCGCGAAAGCGUGGGGAGCAAACAGG